CUCUCAACUGAGAAAACGCCUCCAGAAGACUCGGGUGGCCCAAGGAAAAUCCAACUACAUGUAUCACCUCAAAUGGUGGGAGAGAAACCUGUUACAGUGACAUGGUCUCAAAAUAGAGAGGCAGGAUCGGUGAGACACUGUAUG